GACGAACGCUGGCGGCGUGCUUAACACAUGCAAGUCGAACGAAGAGCGAUGGAAGCUUGCUUCUAUCAAUCUUAGUGGCGAACGGGUGAGUAACGCGUAAUCAACCUGCCCUUCAGAGGGGGACAACAGUUGGAAACGACUGCUAAUACCGCAUACGAUCUAAUCUCGGCAUCGAGGAUAGAUGAAAGGUGGCCUCUACAUGUAAGCUAUCACUGAAGGAGGGGAUUGCGUCUGAUUAGCUAGUUGGAGGGGUAACGGCCCACCAAGGCGAUGAUCAGUAGCCGGUCUGAGAGAAUGAGCGGCCACAUUGGGACUGAGACACGGCCCAGACUCCUACGGGAGGCAGCAGUGGGGAAUCUUCCGCAAUGGACGAAAGUCUGACGGAGCAACGCCGCGUGAGUGAUGACGGCCUUCGGGUUGUAAAGCUCUGUUAAUCGGGACGAAAGGCCUUCUUGCGAAUAGUGAGAAGGAUUGACGGUACCGGAAUAGAAAGCCACGGCUAACUACGUG
rnacentral:rRNA from 1 species